GACGAACGCUGGCGGCGUGCUUAACACAUGCAAGUCGAACGAUGAACUGGAGCUUGCUCCAGGGAUUAGUGGCGAACGGGUGAGUAACACGUGAGCAAUCUGCCUCUCACUCUGGGAUAACACUUGGAAACAGGUGCUAAUACCGGAUAUGACCUCGGAGGGCAUCCUUUGAGGUGGAAAGAAUUUCGGUGAGAGAUGAGCUCGCGGCCUACCAGCUUGUUGGUGAGGUAAAGGCUCACCAAGGCGACGACGGGUAGCCGGCCUGAGAGGGUGACCGGCCACACUGGGACUGAGACACGGCCCAGACUCCUACGGGAGGCAGCAGUGGGGAAUAUUGCACAAUGGGCGAAAGCCUGAUGCAGCAACGCCGCGUGGGGGACGAAGGCCUUCGGGUUGUAAACCUCUUUUAGCAGGGAAGAAGCGAAAGUGACGGUACCUGCAGAAAAAGCACCGGCUAACUACGUGCCAGCCGCCGCCGUAA
rnacentral:rRNA from 1 species